AAGGGAAGCUUGCUCCCGGAUGUUAGCGGCGGACGGGUGAGUAACACGUGGGUAACCUGCCUGUAAGACUGGGAUAACUCCGGGAAACCGGAGCUAAUACCGGAUAGUUCCUUGAACCGCAUGGUUCAAGGAUGAAAGACGGUUUCGGCUGUCACUUACAGAUGGACCCGCGGCGCAUUAGCUAGUUGGUGGGGUAAUGGCUCACCAAGGCGACGAUGCGUAGCCCACCUGAGAGGGUGAUCGGCCACACUGGGACUGAGACACGGCCCAGACUCCUACGGGAGGCAGCAGUAGGGAAUCUUCCGCAAUGGACGAAAGUCUGACGGAGCAACGCCGCGUGAGUGAUGAAGGUUUUCGGAUCGUAAAGCUCUGUUGUUAGGGAAGAACAAGUGCGAGAGUAACUGCUCGCACCUUGACGGUACCUAACCAGAAAGCCACGGCUAACUACGUGCCAGCAGCCGCGGUAAUACGUAGGUGGCAAGCGUUGUCCGGAAUUAUUGGGCGUAAAGGGCUCGCAGCGGUUUCUUAAGUCUGAUGUGAAAGCCCCCGGCUCAACCGGGGAGGGUCAUUGGAAACUGGGAAACUUGAGUGCAGAAGAGGAGAGUGGAAUUCCACGUGUAGCGGUGAAAUGCGUAGAGAUGUGGAGGAACACCAGUGGCGAAAGCGACUCUCUGGUCUGUAACUGACGCUAGGAGCGAAAGCGUGGGGAGCGAACAGGAUUAGAUACCCUGGUAGUCCACGCCGUAACGAUGAGUGCUAAGUGUUAGGGGGUUUCCGCUCCUUAGUGCUGCAGCUACGCAUUAAGCACCUCCGCCUGGGGAGUACGGUC
rnacentral:rRNA from 1 species